rnacentral:rRNA from 1 species
UACAGGGGGUGCAAACGUUGCUCGGAAUUAUUGGGCGUAAAGCACGCGUAGGCGGCUACCUAAGUCGGAUGUGAAAGCCCCUGGCUUAACUGGGGAAGUGCACCCGAAACUGAGUAGCUAGAGUGCGAAAGAGGGUCGCGGAAUUCCCGGUGUAGAGGUGAAAUUCGUAGAUAUCGGGAGGAACACCGGUGGCGAAGGCGGCGACCUGGGUCGACACUGACGCUGAGGCGCGAAAGCGUGGGGAGCAAACAGG